AAAGAAGUGGGACCCGGUGCACUA
rnacentral:siRNA from 1 species